CUAGAGUUUUGUUUUUUUUUUGUUUGUUUGUUUUUUUGUUUGUUUUUUUGUUUUUUUGGUUCUUUUUUUCGGAGCUGGGGACUGAACCCAGGGCCUUGCGCUUCCUAGGCAAGCGCUCUACCACUGAGCUAAAUCCCCAAGCCCCAGAAUGCUAGAGUUUUGACGGGGGUUGCACUGACUCUGCAGAUGACUUUCAGCACGUCUAGUUCCACAAGGCUCUGCCAGAAGAUGAGUGUGGGAGGGGCUUUCCGUCUUCUAGUAUCUUUUUCUUCAGUGUUCCGGUUUUCACUGUAGACAUCACUCACAUCUUUUGUUUAUACUUAUUCCUCAUAUUUAAGUUUUGAAUCUAUCAUGAGUGGGUUUCUUUUGUAAGUUAUCAUUGGCAUGCAAAGAAAAGCUAUGGAUUUUUGUACAUUGAUUCUACAUCUUAUGUUGUUGAAAAUAUUUAUGUGAUCUAAGUUUCCUCAGGGACAGUUUAAGAUUAAUUGCAUAAGAUCAUGUGCAUCUGCGCAUAGAGAAAAUGUCAUGUUGUCUUUUCCCAUUUGUGGCUCCUUUGUUUCUUGUAUUGUUCUCUGCACUGAGAGCCAAGAGAGAACACAUCUGAACUACCUUCUGAAGUGUGGUGACCAGAUGGCCAGCAGGAAGCAGCUUAAGGGGGGAAGAGUGUACUCCAGCUCACGGUUGGAGGGGAUGGCCCACUGUGUUAGGGAAAGCACCUCGUCAGGAAGAGCUCUCAACUGUGGCAGCAAGAACGUACAGCCUCUGGCUCACAACUGAAGAGAGAAGGCAGCAGGGAUAAGAUAGGACCUGAAGAGUCUAUAAACAGCCCCCUCCCCAGCUCACCCCUGGGACCCACACCUUGCUGCCAGGCUUCAUUUUACUGAGGUUUCCUAAGGCUGCGCAGCCAGCUACAGAGCUCAUGAAAGGCGCUAUCCUGACCAAACAUGACAGGACCUUGCCUGGUUCCUGAUUUUAAGUUUAUGGGUGUUUGGCUUGCAUGUAUGUUUGUGGACCACACAUGUGCAGUGCUCACAAAGGUCAGAAAGGAGGCAAAUUUGAUCCUCUGGAGCUGGAGUUACAGAUGGUUGUGAGCCACCAUGUAGGUGCUGGGGAUUGAAUCCAGGUCUUCUGGAAGAGGAGCCAGUGCUCUUAACCACUGAGCCAUCUCUCCAGCCCAUUGUUCCUAAUUGUAGAGGAGAUGCAUUCAGUCUUUCCCUAUUUAGUAAUGUUGGCUUAUUAUUUCCCUAUUUAGUGUAAGUUUGUCCUAUUAUAACAUCUGCUGUGCUGACAUAUGUUCUGUCUAUUCCCAGCUUCUUCAUGGUUUUUAUCAUGAAGCGCUGUUGAGCUUUACCAACGGCCUUUUCUGCAUCUAUUCAGACAAGGAGAUGACUUCUGUCCUUAACCGGCACACGGAUUGGUCUGCAAAUACUGAACCAUCCUUGCAUCUGGACUGAGACCAACUUGGACUGGUGUAGGGAUUUCCUAGUGCAUUCUUGAACUUGGUUUCCAUUCGGUUGAGAAUUUUUGUCCAUAUUCAUCAGGACUUGGUCUUCUGUCGAUGUGUCCUCGUCCUGUUUGUAGCGUUGCUAUGACAGAAGCAAUCUGCCCGUGUCAUCCUCUUUGUUUCCGGAAUAGUUUGAGGAACAUAGAUGCUAGUUGUUCAUGGGAGAUCUGGCAGCAGGCAGCAGUGACUUUCUCUGGCCUGGGUUUCCCUCUGUUGGGAGGCUCCAUUGCUGCCUCAGCACACUGCUUCUUGGGGAACUGCUUACAUUGCUCUCAUAUUCUUGAUCUAAUUUUGGUCGGUCACAUGUACCUUGGAAAUUAUCCAUUUCUUCUAGAUUUUUCAGAUUUUUUUUCUCUCUCCAGGAAAGUAUGUUUCCAAAGUGUUCCCCAUUAAUGCCCUGGAUUUCACUGGAAUCGGUCAUAAAAACUCCCUUUUAACCUCUAAUUUUAUUAACUUGGGUCUUCUCUUCUUUGGUUAGAUUGGCUAGGGAACCUGUCAAUCUUGAUCACCAUUAUUCCAAAGAAAUAACAUUUUUAAACCAGUUUUUGUAUUUUUUUUUAGUUUUCAUUAAUUUCUGCCCUGAUUUGUAUCGAUUCUUGUCAUCUUCACUUCUUCUUACUAGUAAAGAAGAGACUUGGAGAAGGUCAAGAUGGCAUCUUACCUAUCCCGGUACCUUUGAAUUUGGGAACUGGGGUCAUGAGUUUUUUGGAAGAUUCAUGUUACCUUGCUGUGCUGGUUGGUUUUUGUCAAAUUAACCGUGGGAAGAGGGGCCUUUCAGCUGAGGAAUUGCCUCUUGGAUUGGCCUGAGGGCAUGUCUGGGAGGACAUUUUCUUGUUGAUUAAUGUGGGAGGGUUCAGCCCGCUGUGGCUGAAAGGCCAUCUCCCAGCAGAUAGCACAUAAAAAGGCAGUGAAGUGACCUGGGGAACAGGCGGUCCUCCCUACCGUAUGCUUCAGUUCUUGUUUCCAGGCUCCUGCAUUCAGGUUGCUGCCUCGGCUUAGCUCAGUGAUGGACUAUGAUGAGGGUGAGGUGGGAUACAGGCAGAUAGGAAGAGCAGACGCUGCUUCCUUUUUUGUUGUUGUUUUGUUUGCUUUCAGUACACAGUUUCUCUGUGUAGCCCCGCCCUGGAACUCACUCGGCAGGCCAGGCUGACCUCUGACCCAGGGAUCUGCCUGCCUGUCUAGGAUUAAAGGCAUUUGCCACACCUAGCAGGGAAUGGUUUCUUAAGAUGGCUGCUCUUGGCUCCCAGGGACCAUUGUGGCAGAAUAACAGUGGGAAAGAAAUGCUUGCCCAGGGCUGGGACCCGGGUGGGAUGGACAGGGGAAAUGGAAGCACACAACUCAGAGACCAUUGGUCAGACUCCCUGCUGAGAGACCUCUCCCUUCCUAAGGGGAACUGUUGGCUCGCCUAUAAACAGCCUUUGCUCUUGCUUUCUCAGGACUGAAUAGACAAUUCUUUGCCUGCCUCACAGGAGAAACUCAGGUACAAACUCUGCUGCCCACACCACAACUAUUGGUGAUUGUAUUUGUAACCUUUUCCUCCCCGAGUUGCUUUUGGCCAGUGUUUUGUCACAAUGACAAAAAGCAAAUUAGGGCACUUGCUUUUUCAUGUCUUAUGUUCUGUGGUAUGAAAUCUCUGCACACUGCACUUGCAUUUGUGCAUCUAUUGGUUUGGAUCCCUACCGGCCUCAGAGUCAAUGUCGUCAAAUUCCAGCGAUACUCAGUUGAUGAAGUCUGCUCCCUCACAUCAAGGUGGGACUACCUUUCCCUGUAUAGUUCACUCCUGAGCCUCCUGAGUCAGUCUCUCACCCUGGCGCUCUGAUCUCAGCCACUGGCCGCAGCCAUAUGAGCUGGAAGGCAACUCCAUAUCCUGUGGCAGAAGCCCUGAGGGGAGCUGGGUUCAGCUCACCUUUCUUCUUCUCAGUACUUCAUCUUUGUGCUUGUGUGCACUUUUGAACUGUCCUAUGAUGCCUUCAGUGAACUUCCAAAGCCCCUCAUUUCUUUGUUGUUGUUGUUGUUAUUAUUAUUUUACUUGAAACAGGGUCUCUCGAUGCAGCCCUGACUGUUCUGGAGCUCUCUAUAUAGACCAGCCUGGCCUCUAACACACAGAGAUCCUCCUGCCUCCCAAGUGCUGGGAUUAAAGGUGUGUAUCACAAAACCAGCCCACUCCUCUUUAGAAGCUUUCCCCAUCUCCAGUAUUCUAACCCUUCUCUUUCAUGGGUCGUGUGACGGUCCUUGAAGGAUUGAAGAUAUUCUAAACAGACAUUUGUGCCCCUUCCUCUAGCUAUCAAACUAUUGAAACAGUGGUCCCCAAAAAAUUGGAAUUUCCCGAGAAUCUUGAGUUGUUGUUACUGGGGAAACAGAUUCCCUUUGGGGGACUGUUAGUCUCGUUAUUUAAAAGAAUUUAGAAAUAGGCUCAAAAAUUUUUUUUAUUUGAGCUUAAGAGAAAAACAGCAUUACUUAAUUGAGAAUCCCAGCAGCUGGUAUGCCUUUCAAGUUAGAUGUGGAAUACAGAUAGUUUGUUAAGAAAGGAAAGAGCAUGCCCAAGAGUGGAUGUGAGCCUGUGAGCUAAGGGGCAAGUCCCCAAAGUCUGGCCAUGCAUCGUGCUGACAUUCAUUCCCACCCACACCGGCUUGCCAUUGUACAGUCCUGCCUCUGCUGUUUAUAUCCCCAAGGCUUUGGUUCCUGCAGGCUUUGUCCCAUGCUGCCAACAAGAAGCAGCAGGAAGUUGUCUCUUGAACCAGAUUCUGCCCAGUUUUGACAACUUUUCAGACUCCCUUGUAAGAGACAAGCUACAGUAGAGAUAAUCUUGUCAGUGAUGAGCAGGACCACACCUUGACCUGGACCGCUCCGCUCUGCCUAACUCUUGCUUCCUAUUUUUGUUGUGGAGUUCUCUUGUAGAGAGAUGGGACAUGGGGCCUUUCUGCCAGGAGACAGCAUUUAUCCGUGGUGACACUGGUUCACAGGAUUCACAUCCAAAGGCUGAGCACAGCAGAGCGAGCAUCCUUACAUGGCCUUCCUGGGUGUGUCCCUUUAUACUUUAGUCUUUGUAUCCUUUCUAUGGUAAACUAUAUUCUGACUCAGUGUCCUGACAGAGUCCUGCAGGAGGUGUAGAUGCUGAUUAUGGCAGUCAGCUUCCUUUUGUUUCUGGAAAGGCCCUUAUCACAUUUGACAGGGACCUGAAGAAAGCCUGGAAGUAGGACACUGGGCCUCUUUGUCACCCUUCCCAAUGUGGCCACCUGGAACCAAUGUUUUCUUAAUUUUCACUAUUACCUAUCUCUUGAAUUUGUCUUUUGAGGACAGGUGCCCAGCACAGCUCGGUACAACUCCUGGGGCCUGCAGUCUGACUACUAGUAAUAAUUUUGGCCAAGUUGGGACCAGAAGUAAACACCCAUUUGGGAUGUCAGCCACUAGGAGGAAGUUGACCCAGGAUGGAGGAAAGCAGCUGAGAGACCCAGACAUUUGCUGAAGUCAUUUUAACUCCAAGAACUUCUCCUCCCACUCCAACCGGCGUCAUCUGGUUUUUACCUCUAUUUGGUGCAACAGAGAAAUGAGUGUUGAACUUUGUUUUGGACUCUUAAGAAACCAGAUCAGGAGUUUUCUGAGCCACUGCACUUCUGUUGAACCUUCUGGCCUAUUGCGUCAUUUCCAGGACAGGCCUUGGCAGUGUGGCAGCUAUAUUAAACCAAUUUUGAGUUCCUCUGAACCAUGUAGGCGUCUGCUAUGUAACAGUAAUGGAGUUCUGUUGAGCCACACGCCUUCUGACAAAUCAUUAGCAACAGAAAAGGUCGAAGGUGUUGAAGAGAUCUCUGGUAAAAUCUGUUCUCCUUCCCCCCACCCCCCACCAUCCCCUACCUUAGCUCUUAGGACAUAAACCAGCAAUCUGGGCUGUGUCUUAUUCCAUGCCUAUCUUGGGCCAUGCCAAACUGACAGAGAAAGUCAAGAGGGCUUCUCUCAGCUGUCGAAGUACAAGCAGUUACUCUUGUCUGUCUGGGCAGUGAGGCUCCGCCCCUGAUAGAGGUACAGGCUUGAGAGCAAGAGCAAGUUUAACAGGAGCCUGGGGUGCCUUCUAAGUAUGCAGACAAAGUCGGUGCAUGGUGGAGAAUUGCCUCUAUCUUUGUAUGCAAGGCUUUGAGCUGCUCAUUGGUGACCUUAUUAGAAGGUAAUUUUUGGGGGGAGGGCAUGGAUAUCCUCGGUAACUUUUGACUGAACAGUCUCCAUGGUCCGAGAGCCACCACCUACCUACAUGCAUGCAGUGAGCUGCUUGUAAGUUAGCUAUGGCUUGUUUUAAGUUCGAACUCAAGUCAUACAGCCUCCAAGGCGUUCUCUAUUACUUCUUCACAUUGCUGUUGGUCUAGGAUUAGUUGUCCUUGAAUCAUUGCUGUGAAUUUGGGCACUGGCACAAUAGUCUCUGGGGGCUUCUUGCCCAAAAGCUUCUUGCUUUCUGCUUAAUGGUUUCUUCAGACUCAUGCAGUCCAACUGGUGGGGUGACAUGCAUCAGCACUUUAUUUUCUAAUGAGUGGGAAGAGGAGGAUGCACGAGGCAUCUGGUUGUGCACGAAUUGCUGCUUCUGGUCUUUGAGCCUCUCCAUUCUCAUCAUGAAAUAGAUCCGAAUUGUCUGCUGCAUACCAAGCCUGGAGGCCAUUACAUCAAGUGCAAGAGGAGGCUUCACGAAGGACUCGCCAUGUCAUGGACAGAGAGAUUCAGCAUUACCUCUUAUUGGAACUCUAAUCUCAGACUCUCUCCCCAGUUCUUCUCUUUCUCCUGUUGACUAUCUUCUGCAUGUUUGUAAAGUUACCCAGAGCUGUGCGUUCAUGUCCUAGUAGUUCAAUAAAUGGCAAAUUUCCACAUAUCCUCUCUUCUAGAUCUUGAAUCCUAUUCAGAAAAGCAUUAGGAUUGCUUCUUACACCCGGAGCAUCUCUGCCUUUCUCAGUCACCCUCUGUGCCUCCACUGUUAGAAAUGAGGUCAUCUCAGCAUAUGAUGCAACUGAGAAAUGGUUGAGCUAUGAAAUUCAAGCCUGUUUCAUCUAGAUCUAACACCUAGCACCCACACAAAAUUGCUAUCUAGACAGUGGCACAUGAGCCAUUGGGUUGCUGGUCUAAAUACUUCAGUGAACGUGUCUAGAUCUGCUGGUAGUGAAUGGUACCCUGGUUCAUGGCCAAAUAAAGCACAUUAAAUCAGUGUGAUAUUUGGGAUGUUGGUAUAGUGUAAUAUGUUACUCCAAAAUCCAUUUUGAUCAGAAGUGCAUGGUGUUCAUGAGCCUGUGGGAUACCAGUCUGGGCUCCACUCAGUAUGUCUUCCAGUCAUCUGAAUUAAAGGACCACUGUGAACAGCUUCUGUGAUUGUACAUCUAGUCUCUCGUCCACUGUGAUCUUGUUAGAAUAGAAAUAAAGGUCCAUCCUAGUUCGGCAGGUCAAUCACCUGGCUAAAAGACCGCGUUGAAGAAGGUCAUGCUAAAGAGGUAGGCAGAAUAAUCAUUUCUUUAAUGGGAUAAUUUAAUUUUCCUUCCCAUAAACCCUGCCCCUACCAGAGUAGCUUACUGGGCCAUAGCUGUAGGGCGUUGUAAGUCUGCAAGCUUUUCUAAAUGAUUCAGGAAAGUGCAACUUCUCCUUUACUCUUAUCUCUUGUCUAAGCAUUAUUUUGCUAAUGCUCUGAGUUGCCCCAACAUUUUGGGCUUCCUUACUCUUUUUCUAAAACACCCCUCUCUGCCUUACGCCAAAUGUCCACCAUGUGUCUGACCUCCAUGCUGGCCUGAACAGUAUAACUUCGUCCCCUUUCUCCCCUUCACUCUCCUCCACAGGUAGUUCUGAAACUUAGAGCUUGCCUAUCCUGGAGUUUUUCUUUUAAGCACUAAUAAAAUUUACCACCCACUUCUAUUUCUGUCCAUUCUUAAGUUUUUUUAAUUAAGAAUCCCAAGACGGGGGUGCUGGAGAGAUGGCUCAGAGGUUAAGAGCACUGUCUGCUCUUCCAGAGGUCCUGAAUUCAAUCCCCAGCAACCACAUGGUGGCUCACAACCAUCUGUAAUGGGAUUCAAUGCUCUGUUCUGGUGUGUCAGUGACAGGAUG
ensembl:lncRNA AABR07070518.1